rnacentral:rRNA from 1 species
UACGAAGGGUGCGAGCGUUAUUCGGAAUCACUGGGCGUAAAGGGUGCGUAGACGGUUUGUUAAGUUUGUCGUUAAAGACUCCGGCCUAACUGGAGGGUUGCGAUGAAAACUGGCGGACUAGAGGGUGAGAGAGAGAAGUGGAAUUCCCGGAGUAGCGGUAAAAUGCGUGGAUCUCGGGAGGAACACCAAUGGCGAAGGCAGCUUCUUGGCUCAUUUCUGACGUUGAGGCACGAAAGCGUGGGUAGCGAACAGG